rnacentral:rRNA from 1 species
UACGAGGGUGCAAACGUUAUUCGGAAUCACUGGGCGUAAAGGGUGCGUAGACGGCAAGAUAAGUCAAUUAUUAAAUCUCCUGGCUUAACCAGGAUCCUGUGAUUGAAACUGACUUGCUUGAGGAUGGAAGAGAGAGGUGGAAUUCUCGGAGUAGCGGUAAAAUGCGUAGAUCUCGAGAGGAACACCGAUGGCGAAGGCAGCUUCUUGGUCCAUUUCUGACGUUGAGGCACGAAAGCGUGGGGAGCAAACAGGAUUAGAAACCCUUGUAGU